AUUGGACGCUGGCGGCAUGCUUUACACAUGCAAGUCGAACGGCAGCGCGGGGCAACCUGGCGGCGAGUGGCGAACGGGUGAGUAAUACAUCGGAACGUACCCAGAAGUGGGGGAUAACGUAGCGAAAGUUACGCUAAUACCGCAUACGUUCUACGGAAGAAAGUGGGGGACCUUCGGGCCUUCUGCUAUUGGAGCGGCCGAUGUCUGAUUAGCUAGUUGGUGAGGUAAAGGCUCACCAAGGCGACGAUCAGUAGCUGGUCUGAGAGGACGACCAGCCACACUGGGACUGAGACACGGCCCAGACUCCUACGGGAGGCAGCAGUGGGGAAUUUUGGACAAUGGGCGAAAGCCUGAUCCAGCAAUGCCGCGUGAGUGAAGAAGGCCUUCGGGUUGUAAAGCUCUUUUGUCAGGGAAGAAACGGCUGAGGAUAAUACCUUCGGCUAAUGACGGUACCUGAAGAAUAAGCACCGGCUAACUACGUGCCAGCAGCCGCCGUAAGAC
rnacentral:rRNA from 1 species